UAGGGAAUCUUCGGCAAUGGGGGGAACCCUGACCGAGCAACGCCGCGUGAGUGAAGAAGGUUUUCGGAUCGUAAAGCUCUGUUGUUAAGGAAGAACGAGUGUGAGAAUGGAAAGUUCAUACUGUGACGGUACUUAACCAGAAAGGGACGGCUAACUACGUGCCAGCAGCCGCGGUAAUACGUAGGUCCCGAGCGUUGUCCGGAUUUAUUGGGCGUAAAGCGAGCGCAGGCGGUUAGAUAAGUCUGAAGUUAAAGGCAGUGGCUCAACCAUUGUAGGCUUUGGAAACUGUUUAACUUGAGUGCAGAAGGGGAGAGUGGAAUUCCAUGUGUAGCGGUGAAAUGCGUAGAUAUAUGGAGGAACACCGGUGGCGAAAACGGCUCUCUGGUCCGUAACUGACGCUGAGGCUCGAAAGCGUGGGGAGCGAACAGG
rnacentral:rRNA from 1 species